CAGGUUUAUUUCUUUUUAUACGAUUUUCUUCCGAGUGUUUUUUUAGAAAUAUAAAAUUCAUUAUUUCAUUUAUUCCUUUCGUAUACACUUAAAUUAAUUAUUAAAUACAAAUUAUUUUUUUAUGAUUACCGUACCUACGUUACGAUAUUGUUUCGAUAUUAGUAUGGUUUCCUCGGUAGUCUGCAACAAACAACGGUGAACUGAAAAUCUCGAACAAUUAUAUUUUUCGGAAAAUAUUCCCGAUGUUUUAUACAGUCUUUAAAUUGACAAACGUUUAAUUUAAAUAUUUUGUAUUUAUUUAAUUUUAUCGCGAAGACAAUUUUUUCGAUAGGCAAUAGAAAAUCGUUAUUUUAUCUCGUUCACGUCCAAUCCGCAUCCCCUCAUCGCUUCGUUCCGAAUUUCCGUACGAGGAUAUUUUUGUUUUUUUUUUUUUAUAUUUCGUAAUUUCCCACGGAUUAUGAACAUAAAUCUUUCUGGUAAUACUGCAGUAGAUAGGUGUAAUUACUUUUGCCCGCGCCGAAAUUAUUAUAGGUCAUUCGUUCCCCGCGAUCCAUUCAUAUAUAAAUAACUAUUCCUUAACGACU